CAGACUGAAGCAUGUUGUGGGUCCAAUUACAAAAUUUAGAACACAACCCAAAUCUCUUGAGGAUCUGAAGAAGAAAUUUCCAAUUGAAAGUAUCAAACACUUUAGCAAUGUCAAUUUUUAGGGCCACGUUACCACCAUAACACUUCCUAGUGAGAGUGUUGAUUGCUUCCGAAGUUAAGCAUACACAAUCCUCUAUGCUUCUUCCUUU
rnacentral:lncRNA from 1 species